rnacentral:rRNA from 1 species
UACGAAGGGGGCUAGCGUUGCUCGGAAUCACUGGGCGUAAAGCGCACGUAGGCGGGUCUUUAAGUCAGGGGUGAAAUCCUGGAGCUCAACUCCAGAACUGCCUUUGAUACUGAGGAUCUCGAGUCCGGGAGAGGUGAGUGGAACUCCGAGUGUAGAGGUGAAAUUCGUAGAUAUUCGGAAGAACACCGGUGGCGAAGGCGGCGUUCUGGACUGUAACUGACACUGAUGAACGAAAGCCAGGGGAGCAAACGGG